CUGCCUGCCCGGUGACACACGUUUAACGGCCGCGGUACCCUGACCGUGCAAAGGUAGCAUAAUCACUUGUUCUUUAAAUAGGGACUUGCAUGAAUGGCAUCACGAGGGUUUGACUGUCUCUUACUUUUAACCAGUGAAAUUGACCUAUCCGUGAAGAGACGGAUAUAGCACAAUAAGACGAGAAGACCCUAUGGAGCUUUAAUUUAUUAAUGCAACUAAAAACUACACAAACCUACAGGCCCCUAAACUACUAUACCUGCAUUAAAAAUUUUGGUUGGGGUGACCUCGGAGCACAGCCAAACCUCCGAAUAAUUAAUGCUAAGACUACACAAGUCGAAGCGAACUAAUAUUUACAACUGAUCCAAUAACUUGAUCAACGGAACAAGUUACCCUAGGGAUAACAGCGCAAUUCUAUUCUAGAGUCCAUAUCGACAAUAGAGUUUACGACCUCGAUGUUGGAUCAGGACAUCCUAAUGGUGCAGCAGCUAUCAAG
rnacentral:rRNA from 1 species